GAGCAGAUGCCCUGGACUGUGAGCUGAGACUAGCUGAGAGUACUGGGUGCUAAUCCCCCGCCGAACGCUGCAGCCGUCAUCAAGCAGAGCUCUGAAGUGUGGGCAUCAUCUUGCAUUUGCAUCCCGCGUUCACGAGGUCUAGUCCUUACAGGUUUCCAUCUCCAGGGCAGCGCAGAGGACAUCUUUUGCUGGUAUAUCUCAUUCCCUGAACAGGAAAUGAACACACCCUUGUCCCACCCGAAGCAGGGACAUGAGACCCCAGCUGCUCCCUGUGCUGCUUUUCCCUUCUUUCCUAACCCACGGGCUGGAGGCAGUCACCCCUUCGGGCACCCAGGCACCCUGACCAGGCUUCUCACAGCGUUUUCUGUGAGGACACCGCAGCACUGAUCCUCUGUAAAAGGUGAUGGUCUCAUCGCUGCAUUCCCAGCUCCUGCACUAGAGGUACAGCUUUUCAGGCACAGAAGUCUCCAGGUGCUUUCAUAACCAGAGGCGAGCCUCCACGUGCAUCAGGAAACUGAGGCACCUCGUGAGCAGAGAGUUGCUUUUGCAAACACCCCGCAGGUGGGUGCCAGCAGCAGGACCAGCCCUGCUGUGCUUGUUCAGCUGCUUCUCAGGCCAGCUGGGAGGCACGCCAUCCCAAACACACACCACAGAGCUGGGCAGUAAGGGAUUGCAGCCCCACUUCGCUCUUUACAGUGGGUACCAGGGGUGUAGUUAGCUCUUGAACUCUGGGAGCCUCCAAUAAAUGCCUUGGUAGAUGGCCAGGGUCCAGUACUGGAGGUGGCAGAAGUGUGAGCUGCAGCUAGGAGUGGCCGUCACUUUGUGUGGUGGGACAGGCCAUUCCCCCAUUUCUGCUGGGGGGCAGAAAUGACUUUGUGACCUGCAACUCCUGUUUUACACUGCCACGACAUCCUCAGUGCUGAGAUCCAGGUUCCCCAAACGCUGGUGAUCAGUUUUGGGGCAGCUCUUACAGCACGAGCAUUACAUUUCAAAUCUUGGGUUACCAAACAAGACUUCACAUCCAGUCUUGAGUACAAUCAGGGAGAGCAGACGGCUGGGAAUGACAGGCAAAAGAUCUGAGCUGCAGAUGUGCUGUGCCUCCACGAGGCUCUCACAUCACACACCAGGCUCAUCUUGUCCCAGAGCUGCUGGGGACAGAAGGGGGAUGACUGGGGGGCGAGGAACCUGAGCUGUGGGGGGGACAUCCCAGCUGAGCUCCUGGCUCCAUCACAAACCACUGGCUGGCCCCAGGCGUGACAUUUUGCUUCCCCGUGACUCAGUUUACCUUCUGGGAAAUAGAGGGGAAGGGAAGAAAUAACACCUUACCUUGUCAACUAAUUUUGCGGGAUACUCUAUUAAAGUCACUUUAACGGGGCAGUUGAGGACCCUGUUAUAAUGAAAAUUAAUAAAUCUGCUGAACUCUGACUGCAGUUCCCAGGUCUGGGCCCCAGCCAGCUGCAGUUUCUCUCCCAGUUUAACGUAGCCAGGUUUUGCUGCACUGAUGGUGAGGCUGGGAGUGCAUGUGCCUCGCUGCAAGUCCUGGCAGACCUGGCCCUCCUGUCUCGCAGUCCUUGGGGUACCCCGGGAAGGUGGGCACAGUGCUGAGAUGAGGGGGUUGCCCAGGCUAUGAAGGGAAGCAGUGGGAUGCAUCCUGCUCUAUCAGAGGGGCUCCGAUCUCUGCCUGGCCCCUCUGUCCCCCAUCCCUGGCCCGUACUGAUGUCUUGGCUGCUGGCAGAUUGGAUUGCACGUUCCCAGCUGGGAGGGAGGUUUCCUGACAGAGCUCCAUGUAUAAUUCACUCAGCAUGGCCUCAGCCAAGACUCGGUACAGGGAGGGGAAAAUGGCUUAUUGUUUUUCCAAACCUCCUUUUGUUUCCUAAGGAAUGUGGCUGCAAAGCCCUGCUGCUGCCAGAGCCUCUCUCGAGAGCCCUGCUCCAAAGGUAGGUCUUCCGUGGGACUGCUGUGCCCAGUGGGGGAUGCCAGCAAGUGAACUUGUUGUUUCUUUUGCAAUCCAGCAGCUGUUCCCCCCGUAACACAGCUCACCCCACUCUCCAUCCUCCCAGGCACCGUGGCGCUCGGCGUUCCCUCUGCACAGCCUUUUCCUCUGUCACCUCACGGGGACCGGUGCCCAUGUGCUGCAUUUCCAGCCCUUCUUCUUGGCCUGUCUUAGCCACCUCGUUUGCUUUUUAGUGCCUGCUCAGAUUCCAGAGGUGCUGAGAGAUCCCGGACAGCUUCGCUGACCUCCCUGUGGGAGACGGGAACAUAGCUGCCGAGGGUGGGAGUGGGACCGUCCCUGCCAUUACUGCUGGGUGGGGUGGGGCAGGGCUGCAGGGUAACUGGGCUCCCAAAGCAUUAAUUAGAGUCUGAGCUGGUGAUGAGCGUGCGGAGGACAAUCGUUUCAAGGAGCUCUGGGGAAUGCUGGUCAGCACAGGCAGGACUGAAGUGGCCUGGUCCCGGCUCUGGCAGAGUCCCCCAGGCCAGCUCUGUGACCAUCACAGCCCUGCCAUGCCUCAGGGGCAGCCUCCCGGAGGCCAUUUCCAGGAUGUCGAUGUUAUGUUUAGCUUAGGCGGGUUAAAAUGUACCAGUUUCAUUCCAAACCUAGCUCCUACGUGAAGCUCAUGGGUUUUUGUAAGGGGAGACCGAAGUCCUGUGCGGGAAUUGAGCAAUAGGGCAAGGCCUUGGACAGGCACCAAGGUCUGACCUGAAAAUGGCUCAGGAAUCCAGACCCCACCUCCUCUCCUCAAAUGUACACAGAUAAAAUCACGACUGCUUUAAUUCCUUUAAAUACAAGUGGAAAAAUGCCCCCAGAGACUCUGCUGAAGCCUCAGUUCUUGCUGAAAUGCAGAAAGACGAAGAGAGAGCUUAUGUGCUGCCUCUGUGAGUAAUAGAUGUGGCUCUAACCUGAAACCUGGGAUCCAAACCCAGAUGAACUCUGUGUGCAAUCCACAGCCAUGCCUAAACCCAGAUUUUUGAGUAAAUGACCCCUACUUUACUAACUAGCCACCUCCCUCCUUCCCUCCCUGGCUGCACACACCCUGGCAGCUCAGGGCCAGCUCCAGCUCCCAGGCCAGCCAUCUGGUCGAGCCCAGCCUCUCUGACCUUCCUUGAACAACAAAACUUUCUGUGUGACUUCUGCAGCAGGUCGAAUAAAGAAAACCACAUCGGCUUCUCCCCUGAAGCCCACGAGGCAGCAGUAAAAGACGUCAGCAAGCCAAAACGAGGGGGGCGUUUACUCCGGUCUGUAGGAUUUGGGCUAGGGGGGGAGGUUUGGGAAGCACCCGUGGGUGGCUGCAUGCGGUACACCCAGCGCAGGUGCAGCACCCACCAAAAAAAACAAUUAGAUGGCUUUGCUGGGGAGGGCUGGGAAUCCUUGGGAAGAGCCUAGAGCAGUCCUGCAGAAUCCACCUGCUGCUCGGGAGGUCUCUCUCGGCGCGGGGAUCAGCCUGCCUCUUGGGAAAGAGCACCACCCAGAUCUAAGCCCUGCUAGGGUGUUGCCCUGCUUUAUCUGGGCCGUCUUUGUGCGCUAAUUGAUGUUUGCAGGGCUGGGGAGGUUUGCUGGGCUCUGGGAAGCACGGGCUUCUUUCAUAUUUGUGGGUGUAGCCUGAGAAGAACCCCAAGGACCUUCUCCCAGUGUCCCUUCUCUCCCACGCUGGAGCCUGGACCAUCUGUGUGCUUCAGCUCCCGAUGGCCGUGAGACAACAGGUCCCUGGGGAUUUGCUGUCUGGGCACAUAAAGGCCACAGGGAGAUGGAUGGAUUGGGCAGAGCUUCGUCAGCGGAGCAGCUAGAGAUAAAACCUGACAUAAUCCGUGCCGUGGAGUCGAGCUGGGGACCAAGACGAGGACUGGUGGGGAGGGAGAGAAGGGCAGCCAGACCCAGAGCUUGUGAUGGCCGGGAGCUUCUGGAAUUAGCCAUGGCCAGGUCAGGUUGCCAUAAAUGAAUUGGCUGUGGUCAUAACAGUGCUGGUGUAGGCCAAAAUCUGGAAGUUUUGGAGCUGCUUGGCUUCUCCUGUUAGCAGCACCAGCCACGCUAACGCUUUGAAGUCUGCAUGGGACAGGCUUGAACUCUUCAGCCUUGUGGGAAAACACAGCUCUUCCCUGAAAGAUCCCAUUUCUUUUUGACACCGUACGUCCUACGGAGCCCUUCAGCAAAGGACCGAGUGGGGGUAGCUCAGGUGCCUGAUGCUGCAACAGAAAUCACUUGAAUCCCUAACCAUCUCCUCCUCCUCUCCUCUCAAGUGUGGGUAAACCAGCUGCUCUUCGUGGGCUGUCAGAAAACAGCCCCAAGCCCCGCAGAGACUCCCGGCUCCGAGCAGGGGCGGUGAAUUCACUCAGCGGCUGCUACAGCAACGCUGCCGCCGGUGCUCCUGCCCUUGUUUUGCUGCCGACGACUGGGGUUGCCAUGGUGCCGUGAGGCACGUUACCCCGCAUUAAUGCUUUAUAAGCAAUAAACGCCGAUUUCGGCAACGUGCUGCUCGGGCAGCUCGUCGCAGCGUAGCUCCCCGGCCGAGCCGGAGCUUGGCAGGCGAGCCGCCCUCUCACCACUUGAAAAAUCCCGUCUCGUGGUUUCAGCCAGAGGGUUUUUCUGAACUUCUCAUUUCUAAGAAAAGAAAAAUCCCUUUUUCGUAGCACGGCUACGUUGGAGUGAAGUGUGAAAGCCCUAUAUAUAGCCCUCCGGCCUGCCCGAGAAGGAGGGGUGUGAGGUAGGCCCCAGCAGGGAGCUUUGCCUGGAAAGCUCUGGGGAAUGCAGGCGCUGCGGCACUGGGGCCUGCAGCUCGCAGGAGGGGCCCCGUGCCUUGCCUUUGUGGCUUUGAGCAAGGCCCAGCAUCUCCUAGGGCUCCAUUUCCAACCCUCACAGCUGCCUGCUCCCCCGUAGAUCCUAAAUCCCAGUUCACAUGGUCGAGCUGAGGAGGAUUCGGCUCCUGCGUCCCGUGGCGUUAGUGGGUUCGCCACCAGUUGCUGGUGUAUUUACCUAUCCCCAGCCAUGGGUAGGGAAAUCAUAUUUUGACUGGAGCUGUGUGUGUGUUCGGGGACUUUCUGGGACAGACACACCCCAGGGUGCUGCAAUAGGGGCACUGUGCACACCCCGGUGUCUCACACGAGCUGCUCACCUUGGGCGCUGCGGGGCUGCUGGGGGGCAGAGGGUUGGAGCGGACACUGCUGUCCUCCCAGAGCCCCACUGAUCCUUGCUCCAUUUCUGAGUGCACACCAGGGCUCUGAACUCCUUUUUAUCUCGGGGACUAACAAGCCUGUUCCAGGCAUUACAGCUGGAGACUUUCUCUGGACCUGCCCGUGCAAAGUCCUCCAUCCCCACCCUGCUCUGGGCCUGCCGCCGCGCUGAGCGCCCUGCUGUGGACCCCUUCUCUCGCCCCCUUCAACCUCCUCCGGCUUUGUUUGACAGGAACAGGGGUAGGCGGAGGCAGAGGCAUCCUGCAAAGAGGAUGUGGAAAAAAACAAUAACCAAAUGCAGAGAACAGGAAACCAUCUGUGAAAUCAGCGUGAGGUCAGCGACGUACCUUCCCCGACGUGGCAGCUCCAAGAGGAACUAUUGUCUGAGGCUUCUCCUCUGGCCACUAAGGUCGGGCGUUGAGCAAAUGUCCCCUUGCACAAGGCUCUGUCAGUAUGGGUUCAGCUAGUGAGGCCAAGGAGAAAGCCUCCAGAGUGCACUUAAGGCAGCUGGAGCCAGCGAGUGCUCAGCACCGUUGGAAAAACUAGGCCCAAAGUCCUCAGAAAUUCGAAGAAAAAGCAAUUACUGUGGUUGCAGCUCCCUCGAGCGCGGCAAUGUUUGCUUCCUAAAAUACUCCCGAACAGAUGUGACAUUUGCAGCAGGUCAGAUAUGUUGUUUGCCAUGAGGAAACAACGGCCUGCAAUACAGAAGGAGGCUCGGAGGGAGGUUGUUCUGAGGAGGGCGUCUCCUGGGUCUCUGCGGGCAGUGGCAGAAGCCCCGGGCUCGUGCUGCAAAAGCUGCUGUGCUCAAAUGCUGGAGGGCAUCCAGCCCUCAGCCCGUGUACCCUCUUCAAAUGAGGCAGAGGGGAAUAUUUAGCAUCCCGAGAGCCUGCAAACGGAGCUGCCCCGACAUGCCUGAAGCGUGCCUCUGCAUGUCCCAUCCACGCUGCAGAUGCUGGUGGAGGGAGGGCGGCUGGGUACAGGCAGCACAGGCAGGCCCAGCACAGGACCCGGCUGCCAAAAUGCAUUCAGGCCCCAAAAUAGGGGGCAGGGGGCACGGCACAGCGCACGCCGUGGGGGCACGAGGGCUGGUGAGCUUCCAGGAGCUUGGCCUGGCGAGAAGAUGCUCAGCGCUUCUCCUGGCUGGGCACCCGUGCGUGCUGCAAAACCAAGGGCUAGUCGAGGGAGAUAACAGGUUAAAGAGGCUUCGUUGUCUGUCCCCAUCUCCUUGCCCCUCUCUGAUGCGUUUCACACGGUUCGCUCAGUCUUAUUUCACAACCUCGUGUUUUGAAAGGACUUAUUAGCUCUAAGUGUAGGCUGCGCAUCAGACUCUUGCUUUAUUGUUUACCCUGCCUGCUAGGCCUGUUUCUGGGGUCAGACCCGGGUUACCAAUUACAGCCCUGAUUAAACACACCAGCCCUGCUUACCCCUGGGCUUUUUUUCCCCUUAAAUUCCCAGUGACUGCGCUUACCCGGUGCUAGCACCCAGGUGGCUGCUGGCAGCACGAUCCCGAUGUCUGCGCCUUCUCCGGCAGAGCCAGAUAAUGAGAUUUGAACGGGGCCAGUACAUCUCUUAUUUUUACAGUUCAGAACAAGAGAUUUAUUUUUUUUUUCCCCUUACCAUAAAGCCAGCCAGCCCUCGCCUUCCCAAAUCCACCCAGCUAACCUUAAAAUCCUUCCCAAGCGCUAGGGUAAUUGGGAAGGACCCAACCAGGAGAAGUGACUGGCUAAUUUAGCAAGCUGUGGGACACGUCUAAUCGGGAGGAUUUAAAACGUUAAUUCUGCAUGUAACUAGUUCGCUGCUGAUAACGGGGGGCAUGGAUUCGUGGCUGUUGGACUGGUGGCUGACCCAAAGGAUAUUCCCGAGCUGGGUUUUGUGCCGGAUGCCUCAGGAACUUCAGCCCACCGUGGUGAGAAAGGUGCCCCCUCCAAAAUUUCCAGCUCAGAGCCGAGCGUGGGAACAGCUUCCUUUUAGGUGUACGCAAACACCCCGAGCUGCUGACUCCUGCAAAGCCCCAGUCCCUGUGAGCUGUGCUGAGUUUUAACCCUUGAUUGCAAGCCAAACGCUCCCCUUUUAUUGUAAAGCUUCCAGCUCGACUGGUUUCCAACCUCCUUUGGAUAAGCGGAGCGUUUGGAAGCCUAUCUGAACGCCUCCUUCCUGCCCAACCAGUCCCCAGGCUGGUCUGGCCGAUCGCUAUGGUGAGGUUUAUUGUUUUGGUGUGCUUUUUUUUUUUAAAUUGAAAUCUAAAUGCUCUCAGCCAUUUCCAGCUAAACACAGGGCGGAAACUAAUCUAGCCAGAAUGACAUUAAAGCCGCUCUGCCUUCGCUUUUUAAAAUGAAUUUUAUUUUCUAAUUGUUUGUUUACUCCCCGGCUCCUCAAAGCGGUCGGAAGGCGUGCAUUAAGCCUCCUGCCCCGUCUUUAAGCCUGCCCGUCUCGCUGUAACAGGGCCAGAAGUUAUGGGCGCGUAACCCGCUUAGAGGCCCUUGAGCUCCACAGGAAAUCUCUGAUUGGGAGGGCUUAACGAAGCCAAUCUGAUUUGGGGGGAGCCGGGCCUGUGUCAGCCCUCUGCCCGGAGAGCCCCGGUGAUUAGGAACAAACGGAGGACCUGAAUUGGGAGGAUGGUGCCGCGCUUACUUCAUCCACUUGCGGAGCAGGGGGGACCAGGGGAACCUGCUGGCCAAGGCCACAUCAGCAGCAGCGCUGCUGCUCCUGGCAGCAUCGCCGCGCCUGCUCCCCGUGCUAUUCUUGGCAGGCCAGAGGACAGGACACCUCUUGCUGCCGUUGUCAUCCAGUGACUCAAGGCUGGGCAAUGCCAGCCAAGUGCUUUUGAACGUGAUCCUUCUGCUGGCCGGGGGCACAGCCCCUGCUUCUUGCCCGCUCAGUUGAGGUUGCCAGCUCUGCUCAGGCCUCCUGGGCUUCGCCACGGCAGAAAA